CUAAUGCUCAAGCUUUCUCCUUCCCCCCGGCUUCCCAUUUUCUCUCAUCUUCUUCAUCGAAUCUUUUGCCCUAACUCUUAAAGCUCCCAAAUUCUUUCUCAGUUCCGGCCAAUUUUCACCUUGUACUUUCUUCACCUUCUUUCAGUAUGAGAACUUCGCCGCUAUUCUACGCCGGCUGCGCCGAUCACCUUCUCCACGAGCCUCACUUCCUCGAGGCAUGUUCCCUUUGCCGGAAAGCCCUCGGGCGCAACUCCGAUAUCUUCAUGUACAGAGGAAACACUCCAUUUUGUAGCAAAGAGUGCCGGCAAGAACAGAUUGAAAUGGACGAGGCGAAGGAAAAAAGCUGGAGGCGUUCUUCUUCAUCUUCUUCUUCUUCUUCGAGCUCUCAAAGUCACAGAAAGCAAGAAGCUAGCAAGAAAAAUGUACGGUCCGGCACCGUUGCGGUGGCCUGAGAUCUUCCGACAGAAGCAAGAUAAAUUCUCAUUUAGAGAGAAACACGUUCCCCGAUUUGGAAAAAAAAAGGAAAUUGUGGAGUUGAGUGGAUGCUCAUAAUCAAAUUUCCAUUACCAGCUCAAGGACUUGAUUCUCAAAGGAAAAAAAAAAAAAGAGAGAGAGAGAGAGAAAAAAAAAAGAUUAAAAGAUUAAAAAAAAAAAUAAAGAGAAAAUUCGGUUAAUAACUUUUAGAGAUAUCUAAAUGUGUAUACCACAAAAAAAAAAAAAAAAAAAAAACCAUGGGAAA